UCAAAUAAAUUAUUUGUAAUUGUGUUAAAAAAACAAGUAUUGAAUAAUUAUAAAUUGCUUCGAAACCACAAUGAGUACUAGAAAUAAUAAUAUUAUCCAAAUACAUAAUUAAUGGUACACCACAUAGUAACAACAUUGUCCAAGCUGGACUAUGUUUCUGAUCAUGCACAUGCUUCAUAUCACUGCAGCAAAAAAUGAUGAACCAGACAUUAGCUAAAAAACUUAUACAUGCACAUCAAUAAAAUCCUAAUUGCCUUUAAACCUAGUGCUUGCCCAUUGCAACUCCUGAGCCUAAUCCAUAAUCAGAACAAAAGGGAUCAAUGCCACCAGUUUCACCCCAAUCUUCAACACCAUAAAAACCAGCAGCUUUCCCUUCAUUAGAACUCAACUUCCAUAAACAUUCAAGUCACCAAAAGACAACACAUCAUUCCCCAUGUUAAACUGCAAAGGAGAAUCACCUCAAUACUUCCUUUUAAUCCAUUAACUCAUUUACAAAAACUAAAACAUGGAAUCAAUUAUAAUGCAAAGGACUAAAAGCAUUAACAAUUUAUUCCAGUAAAUAAGACCCACGGCAUUCAGAAUAUCAUAAACUACAAAAACAUCUACAUACCCUGAGUUUCUUAUGCGUUGCAACUAGAAGAGGAGGAAUAAGUGAAUACAGAUCACACAACGGUCUUGUAAGUGCUGAAAAAGUUGGGUGCUCAAUAGCCCUGCAAAAAAGUAUGAUAUCCUUGAAAUAACUAAACAAAUAAUAUUGCUUAACAUCCAUAUCUCAAACAUUAAGCACCUCAGGAUAAAUUGCAUUUGAAAUUCAAUUAGCAUAACUCAAACAUCCAUAUCAUUCAUUAGCAGGAGCCUAGGAGGAAUUGCAAUGGAAUACACUAUUUGCUAGUAUGCUUAACAUAAAAGAAUCUACUGUCUCCAUGAAAAAAAAGAUUAUUUAGUGCACCACUGGUGAAGCUAAAAUCUCCAUAUGGGACGCUACUAAUCUGCUACAUGCUUAUUAAGUACACGAUUACUAUCCUAUAUGCAAGCCAAACAACCGAGACAACCACAAAAGACUCAAAGAAAAGUAGGCGAAAGAAGGUGAAAGACAUGGGUGGUGAAGGAAGCUCCAGGCAGUCCAGAACCACCCAAGAGUCAGAUACUCUGUCCAAGGCAGGGUCCCUAAUCAGUUGUGAUUCAGAGUUUGUAGAAGGGGAGGGUAAUUGAAAUGGAGAAAUUCCUGAUUUUCUUUUUCUCUGUAUGUAAACAUAUUGGUUGCUAGACCAUCUUUUUGCUUUAGUGGAAAUCAAGAAAAGUGUCGUGAAACUAGUAGGCAAGAAGGAAACAACGAAGCAAGAUGAUAUAAGGAAGCAGUUGAAGGUAAAAGCUAUUAUAAUUGAGAGAAGAGAUAAAACAUGCACUGUUUAUAUACGAACCAAGUGUAUUCAAAACUUCUCAUGAAAGAAAAAAUACCAAAUAUUCUUCUUUUUCUCUCCAUUUUCUCUUCUUAUCUGGUCUCUAAAAUUGGAAUCAAAGCUAUAACAAUUCCACUCAAAAAAGGGCAAACACUAGAAACACAAAAUCCAAAUCCUAGUAAUAUAAACUGUCACCAAGAAUUUACUGGUAUUUCAUCGGUGCCUUUUUCAUGCAUUUUUAAAUGAACCCAAAGCAUCCCUUCAGAAAAAAAAGAUUCACUCUCUCAAGGCAGUGGAUCAAAAACUCAGAAAUCAAAAGGAAGAAACAAAAGAAGCCUGUUGCAGAAAUACCGAUAUCAUUGUAAUUCAGCAAAAAUAAGCAAGAUCUACUAACUGAAGCUUUAAAGGUAGAAAUGUUGAGAUUUUUAUAGUGAAAAUAGCAAGAAAAUUAAAAGGGAAAGCUUCCCUUCUUCCGAUUUCUGGAAAAUCCAGCAAAAACAUUUUACACCAUUUUCAUAAAAACUUAAAGCUUUUGGGUGACUCACCGACAGAUCUAUAGAGCAGAGAGAUGGAGAAGGAAGAUGAACCUGAGAGACAGAGAUGGCGAGGCAGAGAUGAGGAGGAGAGGCGGAAGCUUUGAGGAAUGAAAAAUGUCUGCUGCUUAGAAGAGAAUGGAAAAUGUCUGCUUAGAGAAGAAUGGAAAAUGUCUUACCAAUUUUGAAGCCGUAAGACAUUUUCCAGAUGAAUGGGUUUAAUUUUACUGUGUUUUGGAAAAUGUUUUACUAAAGGAUUUCAUUUUCCCCCAAACAAACACCGGAAAUGAUGUAAAAUGUUUUCCGGAAACCAUUUUACAGCAAACAAACGCACCCUUAAUCUCAAAGCCCAUUCAAUCAUAUGGAUGUAUGAAGUUGAACAAGUGAGUGGAAGUUAACAAUUUCUUGACACGGUUAUAAGUGUUGAUUUAAUUAGC
rnacentral:lncRNA from 1 species